AAUCCCGUGAACCAUCGACUCUUUGAACGCAAGUUGCGCCCGAAGCCUAAUGGCCGAGGGCACGCCUGCCUGGGCGUCACGCAUCGCGUCGCCCCUUCCUCGCGCUCCCCGGAGCGGGGGGCGGAGACUGGCCUCCCGUGCGCCCCCGUCGCGCGGCCGGCCC
rnacentral:rRNA from 1 species